rnacentral:rRNA from 1 species
UACCAGCACCCCGAGUGGUCGGGACGAUUAUUGGGCCUAAAGCAUCCGUAGCCGGUUCUACAAGUCUUCCGUUAAAUCCACCUGCUUAACAGAUGGGCUGCGGAGGAUACUAUAGAGCUAGGAGGCGGGAGAGGCAAGCGGUACUUAGUGGGUAGGGGUAAAAUCCGUUGAUCCAUUGAAGACCACCAGUGGCGAAGGCGGCUUGCCAGAACGCACUCGACGGUGAGGGAUGAAAGCUGGGGGGGCAAACCGG